GCACAAGGUGUUUAUGCUGAUUUGGAUGGAGUUAUUUACUUUCUUCGACUACUGGAGGGAAUUUGGAUCAAGGUGGAGAUUGUUAAAUUGUGUUCCAAAUCAUACUGUGUUGGACUAAGCGUAUUACAACCGGUGUGGGCCUUUGCGUUGACGUCGACGCGUACGAGUACAACUCGUUUACUUGUCCUCCAAGGACUCUCAUGUAUUGCCCUCUUAUAUACCCCAUGUAGUCGCACCUCAGACGGCCUGUCCUCUCGUGCUUGUAAUACUCCUCCUCAUAGUGAUUGCGUCUUCAUGCGUCCGUGGUUUUCUCCCGCAAGGGUUUCCAUGUAAAAAUCCGUGUCUCUCUGUCUCGUUUAUUUCUCGUUAUUAUCUAACACAUACACUAGUAACAUAUGUAUGUUACUAGUCUAACUUAUUCUCCACUAUAACUAGCCUUACUCGUACGCGGUACGCGCCUUCCAACUUUUUUGCCAUGUGUAGGCUAUGUCAUAAGCCUAAUCUAUGCACUGUGAAUCAGAAAGCCGAUGCUUCUCUGUUGAAAAGAAAAGGGGCCGACGAGUGAUCAUCGAUGACAACAUGUCAAAGGUUACACUACUCACAAGAUUCCAAGACACCACCCGGUUUAGCAUAAAAACAGUGUUCACAUUGCUUUCGUUUCGCAGCCAAAACCUUCCGCACAAGAGUAUGGUAUGUAUCUGACCGUCCUCCACUUCCAACGCACUUUUGUGGUUCUUUUGUUUGCUUUUCUUUGCCUUGUUUAGGGUUCGUUUGGGGAGGAGAUAAACUGUUCGUUGAUUUCUUUGUACCGAAAAUCUUCUAGCCUGAUCUGGCUAUCAGAUAACAUUGAUAGAUCAUUCGGAUCGGAGUAGGCUAGAUCAUCCGGUGAACCUACCUUCUCCAGGUGCGGACGAGCUCGAUCCAGCAUCGGCCAUGGUGAUGGCGGAGUGUGGGUGAGGUGGUGGCGGCGGAGCUUCCCGUCGGCCUAGCACAAACCCUAGAUCGGAUUGGUGUGUUGGUGGUGUUGUGGUGCACAGUCAACCUUGUGAUGCAUGCCCCGGCACCCCAGCUCUUUAUAUUGCGCUGGCGACAGGGCCCAACCAACCAUGGUUUGGUUGGGCACCCCCGAUCAGGGCGCGAGUCAGGGGCCCGUUCGACCCGUUGGAUUCGAAUGGGAUAGAGAUCAAUCUAACAUUCUCCCCCUUGAUCUCAACUUUACUUUUAACCUUAUACUUUCUAUUUUAUUUGUUUCAUCACAUAUUGGUACAUAGAGCAUGUUUCAUCGUCGCAGCUCAAUUGCCGAUAGAAUCAUUCAGCUACAACAUACGUUUUGUUCAGAAACAAAUUCUGUUCCUUUUGGGCCUAUCCAGGAAUCAUAAGACUUUCCCUUAAACCCAUGCCAGCUAAGUGUUCCUUGAACACAUUGGGUGGUAAGCCUUUCGUUAGCGGAUCCGCAAGCAUAUCUUUUGUCUUUAUAUGCUCGAGACUUAUAGUUUGAUCCUGGAUUUUAUCUUUCACAACAUAAUACUUUAUCUCUAUUGUUUUGGCAGCAUUACUCGACUUGUUAUUGUGAGCGUAAAGUACCGCGGGUUGAUUGUCGCAGUACAUCUUUAGUGGUUUGUGAAUACAAUCUACCACUUUCAAGUCGGGUACAAAUUUCUUUAGCCAUAUCGCCUGCCCCGUGGCUUCGAAGCAUGCUAUGAAUUCUGCAUACAUCGUGGAUGAUGCAACUAUCGACUGUUUGGAGCUUUUCCAUGAAAUAGCUCCCCCAGCGAGGGUGAAUACGUAUCCUGACGUGGAUUUUCUAUCAUCUUUGUCCCCCGCAAAAUCUGCGUCUAAAUACCCUUUUAUCUCUAGGGAAUCAGAUCUCAUGUAUGUUAGCAUGUAGUCCUUCGUGCCUUGCGCAUAACGCAGUGCUUUCUUUAUCAUCUUCCAGUGCUCUAUGCCUGGAUUCUCUUGAUAUCUACUGAGUACUCCGGUGAUAAAGGCUAAGUCAGGGCGAGUGCACACUUGUGCAUACUGCAAGCUGCCAACUACCGAAGCAUAUGGUACUCCUUUCAUUUGAUCGAUCUAGUACUGGUUUUUGGGACAUUGGAUUUCCCAAAACUAUCGCCCUUAACUAUAGGAGCAGGUGUGGCUUUACUUGCAUGCAUAUUAUACUUUUUAAGAACCUUUUCUAAAUAUGCUUUCUGCGAUAGUCCUAAAACUCCAUUGUUUCUAUCUCGGUGAAUUUCUAUGCCCAAAACAUAUGAUGCUUCACCAAGAUCUUUUAUGUCAAAAUUCGAGGAUAAGAACUUCUUUGUUUCUUGUAGUAGACUAACAUCACUGCUAGCAAGCAGAAUGUCAUCCACAUACAAGAUUAGGAAAAUAUAUUUCCCAUUUUUAAACUUUGUAUAAAUGCAUUUAUCCUCAAUAUUUUCUUUAAAUCCAAAACUUUUAAUCGUUUGAUUAAACUUUAAAUACCACUGCCUAGAGGCUUGCUUUAACCCAUAAAUGGAUUUCUUGAGGCGGCAUCCCAUAUUUUCCUUGCCUUCCAUGAUAAAACCCUUGGGUUGUUUCAUGUAGACAUUUUCUUUUAAAUCUCUGUUGACAAAUGUCGUCUUUACAUCCAUUUGAUGUAACUCUAAAUCAAAAUGAGCAACUAAUGCCAUUAUGAUUCUGAAGGAAUCCUUACAUGAGACCGGAGAAAAUGUCUCUUUGUAAUCUAUCCCUUCUCUUUGUGUAAAUCCUUUUGCCACGAGUCGUGCUUUAUAUUUUUCUAUAUUCCCUUUAGAGUCAUACUUAAUUUUGUAGACCCAUUUGCAGCCUACUGAUUUGGCUCCUUUAGGAAUUUCCUGUAAGUCCCAAACAUCUUUGGAACUCAUUGAUUUCAUCUCGUCUUCCAUUGCCUUCAUCCACAUUGAUGAAUGAGGGCUUCUCAUGGCUUCUUCAUAUGAGGUGGGAUCUUUUUCCAUAUGAACCAUUUCUGUAUUAUAAACUUUAAAGUCAGUAGAAAUAGCUGACUUUCUUGGUCUUGUAGACCUUCUAAGGGCCUCAGUUUCUGGUACAUUCCGUGCCUCAACUUCUGGCACUUCUUCUAAAAUUUGCUGCUGCACCUCCCUUUCAUGCUCAACAACGGGUUCAGUCGGCUCCUGACAGACAGGUUCCGGGUCUGCCCCCAUAGUUGUCAUGGGUGAAGUUGCAACUGGUAGUGAGAAAAAUGGCUCCUGGAUCAUCGGAUUAGGUGCAUACACCCUCUUCUCCUCAAGAUCAAUUUUCCGAGCUACCAAGCUCCCCCUCAUCAUUUCGUCCUCUAAGAAGACGGCAUGUCUCGUUUCUACAAACUUUGUAUAUCUGUCUGGGCAGUAGAAACGAAAACCCUUUGAUCUGUCUGGAUAGCCAAUGAAGUGGCAACUCACUGUUUUGGGAUCUAACUUUCCAAUGUUUGGAUUAAACAUUUUGGCCUCAGCAGGGCACCCCCACACCCUGAAGUGUUGUAGGGAUGGCACCCUUCCUAUCCAUAGCUCGUACGGUGUUUUGGGCACCGACUUGCUUGGUACUCUAUUGAGAAUGUGAAUGGCGUUUUUAAGCGCCUCCAUCCAUAAUCCCAAUGGCAAGUUGGAAUAACUCAUCAUGCUGCGCACCAUAUCCAUAAGUGUACGGUUGCGCCUUUCAGCUACUCCAUUUUGCUGAGGUUCGCCCGGCAUUGAAUACUGGGCAACUAUGCCAGUCUCCUACAAGAACUUUGCAAAAUGUCCAGGGACUUGGCCAUAUGGAGUGUGCCGACCGUAGUACUCCCCCCCAUGGUCGGACCUAACUAUAUUUAUUCUUUUAUCAUGCUGAUUUUCAACUUCAGCUUUGAAUAUUUUAAAUUUAUCCAACGCUUCAGAUCUUUCUUUGAUUGGAUAAAUAUAUCCAUAGUGAGAGUAAUCAUCUGUGAAUGUUAUAAACGAGUCAUAUCCAUCCACACUUUUCACCGGAAAUGGUCCACAAAUAUCAGUGUGGAUGAUUUCUAGUGUGCCUGUGCUAUGGAUUGCACCUUUUUUGAUUUGUUUUACGUACUUUCCUUUAACGCAAUCUAUGCAUUGUUCUAAGUCUGAAAAUUCUAACGGAGGAAGAAUUUCACUUUUGACUAAUCUUUCUAUUCUCCCCUUUGAAAUAUGGCCCAAGCGACAGUGCCAUAAUUUCGAUGAGUCGAAUGUUCUUUUUCUUUUCUUUUGCUCUUUAUUUGACGCGGAAACAUUUUCUUUCACAUUGCAAAUGGAAUAAACUUUUUCACGAAGUGAUAACAAAUAAAGCUCAUCAUGUAGUAAAGCAUCACCCACAUAAGCAUUAUUAUACCAAAUGGCACACUUGCCAUGUCAAAAAUAACAUUCAUAAUUAUCUUUGUCCAAACACGAAACACUAAUUAAGUUUCUAUGACAUGAUGGAACAAAUAAAACAUCUCUAAGUAGAAGAUUGAAUCCGCCAGCUAACUCCAAGGAGAUGUCACCGACAGCUUCAACUUCUGCUUGAACUCCGUUUGCCACUUCAAUGCGUCUUUCGCUUCUUAGCGUAGUUCGCGUCGAAUGGAAUCCCUGUAAAGAAUUUGCAACAUGAACAGUUGCUCCUGAAUCAAUCCAUCAAGUGGAUUUUGAAAACUGUGUAUACAAGGAUUCAUUUACAAAUGAAACUAUAUUGUUACCUCUUUUUGCCAUGACUGACUUCAGCCAAGCAGCGCAGUCUUUCUUGUAAUGCCCUUUCUGCUUGCAGUGGAGACAAGUGUCUUUGUCCACUGAGAAAGGUUGUUGCUAAUGCUGAUGCUGAUAAGGGGCUUUUCCAUUCUUUGAAGGAGAACUUUUGUUGUUUUGACAGUAGUUCUUUUUCUUGUAAUCCUUCACAUAGUUGAGUGAACCACCAUGUGCGGCUUUGAGUCUGUCCUCUUCUUGGACACAUAUUGCUAUUGUAUUUUCAAUGUCCCAUGUUCCAGGUGACAUAUUAUAGUUUACAACAAAAGUUGCAAACUCCUUUGGCAGUGAAGCCAUGACCAGGUGGACCAGGAGCGCUGGUUUGAUCUCCAGAUCCGCAUCCAUGGGCUUGAGCUUUGCUGCCAUAUUGCUCAUCCUGAGGAUGUGCUCUCUUAUUCCAUGACUACCACCUGUGUAGCGUUCUGUCACCAGUUGCUCUAACACCUGGGUGGCGUAUAUCUUUGAAGAGCCAGUGAACUGGCUCUUUAUCUGUGUAAGCAACUCCCCUGCGGAAGUGCACUCUGUAAUGGAGCCCACAAUGGCGCUCUCAAUUGUAUUCUUAUAAAUGCCAUGCACUUUUUGUUUGCAUUGACCCACUUUUGGUUAUCUAUGAGGUAGGACUGCUCCAAAGGAGCAUAGUCCCCCUUCUUUUUAGCCCAUGCAGCAUCAUCAUCAGUGGCCUCUCUUACUGGCUUUGUGGGUCUGACCGGCUGUGGUUUCUCCACAACCCAGUCAAGAUCAGCACAAACAAAUGCCAGUUCAACUUUCUUCCUCCACUCAGUGUGGUUGUCACCGCUAAGUGUCGGAACUUCUUUUAGGCAACUCAUCAAGUGAAAGCCUCCUGAAAUCACAAUUUAAGUGACAUCAGUAAAACAAUCAUAUGCAAUAAUCUAACGUUGGUCAAAUUAAAACAUACAAUUGUCUAUGCAAUUAAAUCUAUAUUACCGUUGGGCAAAAUAUUAGAAAUAAAUGCACCUUUAAAUUUUAAUAAUAAAACAUGACCAUGUUAUUAAACAACGUUGGUCAUAAAAAAUAACAUAAUCAUAUUCAUUUCAAUAAUCACUUUAACAUGCUCUUAAAAAACAUAAUUCUAUCUAAACUUUUAUUUUCUUUGUUAAAGAGCACUAUUAAUUAUAUACGCAGCGGAAAAACGUGAAUAAAAAUUCAUGAACUUUUUACUUUUUACAGAAAACUUUUCUUUGAUUAAAUAAAAGAUUCAUUAACUUUAUUAUUUUCUCUCUAAAAUUCAUGAACAUUUAUUUUUCUGAAAUUUUUCUAUCUUAAUUUUCAGAAACUUUUCUGUUUACUAUUCUAUUUUCUAAACAAAAAUUUCCGUUGGAAAAAUAAUUACAUAGAAAAUCUAUUAGAAUACUGCCCAAAUAAAAACUGGACAGAAACUAUUAAAACGAAAAGAAAAACAGCAGCAGCAGCCGGCCUCGACUCGGCCUGGGCCGCCCGCAGCUGCGGCCUCGGCCCAGCUCGCGCGUGGCUGCCCCCGCCGCUGCCGGCCUCGCAGCUCUUUCGGCCCAGCGGCCCGGUAGUGCGCUAGGGUUUGGAUCUGGCCCGUCCGUGAGGAUCCGACGGCCAGCCGCGCGUUUCGCUCGAACAAAAUAGGCCGCAGGCCAUCGGGAGGAAAACCCUAGCAUUCAUUUCCCCUGCGCCGCUCGCUGCCUCUGUCUCUUUCUCGCGCGCACUCCGGCGGCGGGCCACCGUGCCGCGCCGAUCGCCGGCGACGGCGACGAGCGCCACCGCGCCACGCUGCGCCACGCGAGCCACCUCCUUUCUCCUCCCUCUGUCUCUCCCCAUCUCCCGCAACAGAGAGCGUGAGAGAGCAGAAGGGCACAGCCAGCCUUCCCGAUGCGGCGGAUGGGGCCACGCCGGCCAUCGGCGACAGCGUGGAGCCGCGCUGUGCAAGCCUUCCCUUUCCUCCUUCCUUUCUCUUUGUCACCCAUCCACCACCUGCUUCUAUUGGAGAGAGAGCCGCGAGCAGCGGCGCGCGAUACGGCGGCGCCCUCCCUGUCCCCUUUGUCGGCGUGCGCGAGCACCUCGAUGGUGAACGCGCCGCCGUCAAACGGCUCGUUGGUGGUGCCUGUACUUUGCCCCUGUAGGGGGUGGUUCUUCGUCCCUGUCGCCUCGGCUUGCCGAUGCGCGACGGGAUCGAGAGGAACAGGCGCGGCCUUACGGCGGCGCUCUUUACCGGCGAGGCCCGAGGACAUACUCCGGUUUACUUUUCUGGUUCUUUUGUUUGCUUUUCUUUGCCCUGUUUAGGGUUCUUUUGGGGAGGGGAUAAACUAUUCGUUGAUUUCUUUCUACCAAAAAUCUUCUAGCCCGAUCUGGCUAUCUGAUACCAUUGAUAGAUCCUUCGGAUCGGAGUAGGCUAGAUCAUCCGGUGAACCUACCUUCUCCAGGUGCUGACGAGCUCGAUCCAGCACCGGCCAUGGUGAUGGCGGAGUGUGGGCGAGGUGGUGGCGGCGGAGCUUCCCGUCGGCCUAGCGCAAACCCUAGAUCGGAUUGGUGUGUUGGUGGUGUUGUGGUGCACGGUCAAUCUUGUGAUGCGUGCCCCGGCACCCCACCUCUUUAUAUUACGCUGACGACAGGGGCCCACCAACCAUGGUUUGGUUGGGCGCCCCCAAUCAGGGCGCGAGUCAGGGGCCCGUUCGACCCGUUGGGUUCGAACGGGAUAGAGAUCAAUCUAACAGGUAUUUCUCACUAGUCCUAUGGACUUUGACGCACAAGGUGUUUAUGCUGAUUUGGAUGGAGUUAUUUACUUUCUUCGACUACUGGAGGGAAUUUGGAUCAAGGUGGAGAUUGUUAAAUUGUGUUCCAAAUCAUACUGUGUUGGACUAGACGUAUUACAACCGGUGUGGGCCUUUGCGUUGACGUCGACGCGUACGAGUACAACUCGUUUACUUGUCCUCCAAGGACUCUCAUGUAUUGCCCUCUUAUAUACCCCAUGUAGUCGCACCUCAGACGGCCUGUCGUCUCGUGCUUGUAAUACUCCUCCUCACAGUGAUUGCGCCUUCGUGCGUCCGUGGUUUUCUCCGGCAAGGGUUUUCACGUAAAAAUCCUUGUCUCUCUGUCUCGUUUAUUUCUCGUUAUUAUUUAGUCUAACUUAUUCUCCACUAUGAUUAGCCUUACUCGUACGCGGUACGCGCCUUCCAACUUUUUUGCCAUGUGCAGGCUACGUCAUAAGCCUAAUCUAUGCGCUGUGAAUCAGAAAGCCGAUGCUUCUCUGUUGAAAAGAAAAGGGGCCGACGAGUGAUCAUCGAUGACAGCAUGUCAAAGGUUACACUACUCACAAGAUUCCAAGACAUCACCCGGUUUAGCAUAAAAACAGUGUUCAUAUUGCUUUCGUUUCGCUAGAGCCAGAGCCUUCCGCACAGGAGUAUGUAUGUAUCUGACCGUCCGCCACUUCCAACGCACUCAGUUAACGCAGUCAGCUAUUUUUUUUCUACAGGAAUAUUCACCUAUCAUGUGAUUUCGAUCGAGGAGCCCUCCUAUAAAAUUUUGAACUCGCUCCCUCGAUCCAAACUUUGCGUCUUUGCCGGGACGAAUGAUCCGUCACCUUGAGGUCAAACCAACUCAGACGGCAAGAGUCCACAUAAGUCUUGUCAUGGCCUGAGCCCGAUCUACCAAACACGCACGGUCUGCAUGUGCACUGCAGGUUAGUCAGUGAGUCUGUUCUUCCUUGUUCUUGGGUAAAAAUAUCUCCGCUUGUUCGGCCUAAAUAACUUUCUUCUAAUCUUGCUGCAUAUGUAGGCAUACCGCCCGUCUGAACCAUGUGGCCGCAUGCAUAUUCAGUUGGUGCAGAGGCCGAAAGAGUAGUAAGUAAAUUUCCUCCUUUCCGAAAAGAAGAACCCGUGGCCAGCUGCUAAGGUUGCUACAGACAAUAGAUGCUCUGCAGCAAUGUAUAACUAGCUGAAAGCUUUUCUUUUAAUUCCAUGGUUAAGCUUGAAGAAAUACGCACAAUCAUUCGCGCCCUGCUGGAUUCGUUUCGUUCUAGCUGUGCCGCAUUUGCUAUUCUGCAUGCAUCUCUACACUGACUAGAUGGAGCUUGUCUGUCAGGAAUCGGGAUUUGCUAGCAUUGCAUGCCGUGUGUAUCCGAUGCCUGCCCUUUUAGGCCUUUGCUACAUGCAGAAAAAAAAAGGACACAGCAGCAUCUAAAAUCUAUAAUAGAGUAAAGGUACUAAUUGGACCAUUCCGGUUAUAUAGUUAAAAUUGAGCAAUCGGACUCCCCCAACAUGCAACGAGGCCUCAAUGAUUAAGCUUGGUUUGGUCACAAAUAUAGUACUACUACGUACUACAAAUCUCACUUCUGGAGACGAACAAGAAUACCAGCUGAGACAGAGCUGAAUUACCAGGUGUCAAGGAGACGCAAGUCACAUUCAGUCUUGGCAGUAAUUAAUUAAAUCGUCCAAACAACAACGCGAGCAGUAUCUGCCAACUUUUUUUUU
rnacentral:lncRNA from 1 species